GAAAUAAAUUCCCAACAUUAAUAUUUAGUAAAACUAUAUUUUGUUUCAAUAUUUUAUUUAGUGGUUUGCGCCUUGUGUACACUUCACAAAGAUGUUUCUAUGUUUUUAUGUUCUAUAAUUCAAAGUGUACACAAAGGCGCAAUAUUCAAAAAAAAAGUUCGUUGCCAAGGUGUUGUUAUAUAGAAUAAUAAGAUAAUAAAAAACGGGAAAGUAGGGCGUGUGUCCGAUCCCACACAAAAAUUACUUUAAUACCAAAAGUUUGUGUUAUUGUAAUAAAAUAUUAGUUGUGAAAAGUGUCUUUAGUUAUUCCUAGCUUCAGAAGUGUAAAACCAGUGUAAAAUUAUUUCCUUGGUGUUGCAAAAAUCCAACAUCAAGUUUGGUCCUUCGAGCCGGAUAUAAAAAGAAGCUAGGAAUUACUCAAUUUCCAGAAGGUAAGAAACACACCUAAUAAAAAAAAAAAGAAGAAAUUAUUGAACAAAAAAGAAAUUAUUAGAAAAGAAAUUACAAAAAAGAAAAAUCAUUAAAAAAUUAAUUUUGUAAAACGUCAAGCUCAUACAAUAGCGCCAUCUAUGUAAAAGAGGGCGAACGACCGACGUCGAAUGGUUAUCAAGCGAUCGAGAGAAAUAAUCGAUGUUUUAUGAAAUCGAUCAUAUAUGAAGUGACAGAAAACUGACAUUGACAGUGAAUACAAAAUUAAAUAAAUUGACUGUUUGUGUUUUGGUUUGUAAAUAAUCGUCAACAUUUUUGUUAUUUUGAUAUUUAAAAUAGUUUUUUUUACCUUUUAAGUUUUAGGUAGAUUCAUAUAAAAAAAAAAAAAUGCCCGCUAAAAAGGAUAUUGAAAUGCUAAAAACUAAAAAAUCUCAAGAAAUUCAGUCUAUUAAAACUAUUACAAGGGGUAUGCAGAUUCCAUUGAUAAUAUUAGAGAGGAAUACUUUGACACAUUAGCUAAAAUUAAUAGUCAACUCUCAAAAACAGUAAUACAGAGCGUAAGUACUAAUCCACAAGAUGUAAAUAAUUCUUUUUAUUCUUCAAAUAUUCCACGAAUAGAAAUUCCUUGUUAUGACGGCAAAGAUUUAACAAGUUAUAGACCUUUUAUAGAUCUAUUUCUAGCUGUUUUUGAUAGAAAUAAGUCACUGCAAAAUGUUGAAAAACUUUUUCAUUUAAAGAAUCAUUUGGAAGGAGAGGCAAGAAGCCUAAUAAAUGAUCUACCUCUAACAAAUGACUCUUAUAAUGAUGCAUUGAGAAUGUUAGAUAACCGUUAUAACAAUGAAACAAUAUUAAUAAAUUCUCACAUUUAUUCACUACUUGACAUUCCCUCCAUUCAAAAAGGAACUUCCACCGCCUUACGUGAGUUCAUUAGUAAAGUGAGACAGCAGUUAGGUGC
rnacentral:lncRNA from 1 species